rnacentral:rRNA from 1 species
AGUGAACGCUGGCGGUAGGCCUAACACAUGCAAGUCGAACGGCAGCACAGUAAGAGCUUGCUCUUACGGGUGGCGAGUGGCGGACGGGUGAGGAAUACAUCGGAAUCUACUUUUUCGUGGGGGAUAACGUAGGGAAACUUACGCUAAUACCGCAUACGACCUACGGGUGAAAGCAGGGGAUCUUCGGACCUUGCGCGAUUGAAUGAGCCGAUGUCGGAUUAGCUAGUUGGCGGGGUAAAGGCCCACCAAGGCGACGAUCCGUAGCUGGUCUGAGAGGAUGAUCAGCCACACUGGAACUGAGACACGGUCCAGACUCCUACGGGAGGCAGCAGUGGGGAAUAUUGGACAAUGGGCGCAAGCCUGAUCCAGCCAUACCGCGUGGGUAAAGAAGGCCUUCGGGUUGUAAAGCCCUUUUGUUGGGAAAGAAAAGCAGCAGGUUAAUACCCCGCUGUUCUGACGGUACCCAAAGAAUAAGCACCGGCUAACUUCGU